GAAUGAAGAACGCAGCGAAAUGCGAUAAGUAAUGUGAAUUGCAGAAUUCAGUGAAUCAUCGAAUCUUUGAACGCACAUUGCGCCCGCCAGUAUUCUGGCGGGCAUGCCUGUCUGAGCGUCAUUUCAACCCUCAUGCCCCUAGGGCGUGGUGUUGGGGAUCGGCCAAAGCCCGCGAGGGACGGCCGGCCCCUAAAUCUAGUGGCGGACCCGUCGUGGCCUCCUCUGCGAAGUAGUGAUAUUCCGCAUCGGAGAGCGACGAGCCCCUGCCGUUAAACCCCCAACUUUCCAAGGUUGACCUCAGAUCAGGUAGGAAUACCCGCUGAACUUAAGCAUAUCAAUAAGCGGAGGA
rnacentral:misc_RNA from 1 species